GUCUUUUAGAGUAUAAUUUAAAGUCUAACCUGCCCACUGAAUUUUUUGAAGGGCCGCGGUAUUUUGACUGUGCAAAGGUAGCAUAAUCAUUAGUCUUUUAAUUGGAGGCUUGUAUGAAUGGUUGGAUGAAACAUUAACUGUCUCAAUUUAAUAAAAAUAGAAUUUAAUUUUUAAGUUAAAAAGCUUAAAUUUAAUUAGAGGACGAGAAGACCCUAUAGAUCUUUAUAAUUAGUUGAUUUAUAUUUAUGUAGAAAAAUAAUUAAUAUUAAUUGAUAAAUUAUUUUAUUGGGGUGAUAAAUAAAUUUAGUAAACUUUAUUUUAUAUAAACAUUAAUUUAUGAAUAUUUGAUCCAUUAUUAGUGAUUAAAAGAUUAAGUUACCUUAGGGAUAACAGCGUAAUUUUUUUAGAGAGUUCUAAUCGAUAGAAAAGUUUGCGACCUCGAUGUUGAAUUAAAGGUUAAUUUUAGGUGCAGAAGUUUAAAGUUUUGGUCUGUUCGACCAUUAAAUC
rnacentral:rRNA from 1 species